UAGUGCGCUGGGGAGAGAUAGCCAGGCAGGCUGCAUAAUCUACAAUGUAGAGGGCUGAGGGAGGUUUGGGCACUCUCUGCUACCACUACUAGGAUGAUAUUCAGACAAGAGGGGACCUCAUACUGUGACCUGACCCAGGACCCUCCCUGGAAGAGAGCUCAGCCGAGCUGUGUUUGAAUGAGUGUGUAUAUGUGUUUGCAUGUGUGUGCUCAUGUGCACUGUGGUGUAAAAUGACUUAUCUGGUUGUGUAACUCAGGGCAGGCUGGGGACUCACCAGAAGAUUCCCUCAGGCCUGCCCAAGACAGGUUUUUUUCCUUGUACCCUCUUCAGAGGGAUCAGAGAGAGGGUCCAGGUGGGUUGAAGGGGUUGCAACAGAUAACCACUAAGGCCACACUGCUGCCAGAGGAGUUGGGGGAAAGGGAGGGAGAUGUGGUUGCCCCAAGGCUCUGGUACCUGGCUUUAGUUUUCUGUCUUCUUUCCUCAGGAUUCCCCUGAGGCCCAGGACCUGUGCCUGGCUUAGAGGACCAUCUGUGGCUGGCUGAUCCAGCUACUGGUGUGAUCAUGGGCUUCCCUCCUCUCUCUCUCAGCAGGGCAGACACUUCUGCCCCAGGGACUGGGCAACUGGCUGUUUCUAUGACGUAUUUAUUUUUACUUGUGUUUCAUGUCACUUUUUUAAAAAAAAAAGCAAACAGAACAAUUGUAAGUCAGUAUAACUGCCUAUCAGUUUUCUUUAUUUCUCUUUUUGUAAAAUAAAAUUUAAACUC
rnacentral:lncRNA from 1 species